rnacentral:rRNA from 1 species
GUGUUAUUCACUAAUGGAUGCCUUGGUCUGAAAAUCUAUGAAGAGUACAGCGAAAUGUGAUAUGCAUUGUGAACUGCAGACUUCCGUGAGUCAAUUGCUUGUUGAACGUUUGCUGUGCCCUUGGGAUAUGCCUGAGGGCGCGCCUGUUUCAGCGUCUGU